AGGAUGAACGCUGGCGGCGUGCUUAACACAUGCAAGUCGAACGGUGAAAGAGAGCUUGCUCUCUGGAUCAGUGGCGAACGGGUGAGUAACACGUGAGUAACCUGCCCUUGACUCUGGGAUAAGCGUUGGAAACGACGUCUAAUACCGGAUACGACCUCCGAAGGCAUCUUCUGGAGGUGGAAAGAAUUUCGGUCAAGGAUGGACUCGCGGCCUAUCAGAUAGUUGGUGAGGUAAUGGCCCACCAAGGCGACGACGGGUAGCCGGCCUGAGAGGGUGACCGGGCCACGACUGGGACUGAGACACGGCCCAGACUCCUACGGGAGGCAGCAGUGGGGAAUAUUGCACAAUGGGCGCAAGCCUGAUGCAGCGACGCCGCGUGGGGGAUGAAGGCCUUCGGGUUGUAAACCCCUUUCACCAGGAGCGAAUUCAGACGGUACCUGGGGAAGAAGCGCCGGCUAACUACGUGCCAGCAGCCGC
rnacentral:rRNA from 1 species